rnacentral:rRNA from 1 species
AAAGAGCGAUAUAAGGGCGUAUGGUGGAUGACUAGAGAUAAUUGGGCGAAGAAGGACGCGGCGUGACGGCGAUAUGCUUCGGGGAGGUGUCGAGCAACCUUUGAUCCGAAGAUUUCCGAAUGGGGAAACCUAUACCGAAAUUUUAAUUCGGUAUUCCAUUGCUUUAAAAAGUAAUGUGAGCGAACCCGCUGAAGUAAAACAUUUCAGUAAGCGGAGGAAAAGAAAACAACGCAAAACUUUUUUCACAGCGCGCAUGAAUUCGGCGUUGCGAAAAAAGAUUUGUACAUUCUCUUAGUAGCGGCGAGCGAAAAGGGAAUAGCCCAGAGCUUUUUCUUUUUGGUAAUUUAUUAUUAGAAAGAUUAAGCAGUAGUAAGUUUAGUUCUAAUCUUUAAUGAUGAGGAAAAUUGGAUUAUUAGUAGAACGGUCCUGGAAAGGCCGGCCAGAGAGGGUAAUAGCCCCGUAAGCGAAAAUUAAUCUAUAUUCUUUGGACUUCACUUGAGUACCUCGAAAAAUGUAUAGUUCGGGGGAAUCUGCCCGCACGAGCGGGUAAGGCUAAAUACCAAUUAUCAUCGAUAGUGAACUAGUACCGUGAGGGAAAGUUGAAAAGUAGCCCGGUGAGGGCGAUGAAAUAGUACCUGAAACCAUAUGCUUACAAGGAGUCGAAGGGCCGAUGCAGUAAUGCAUCGUGCUUAACGGCGUGCCUAUUGAAGAAUGAGCCAACGAGUUAUUGUUUUUUGCUCGUCUAAGGGCGUAAUGCCCGGAGACACAGGGAAACCAAGUGUUAAUAGCGCGAAAUAUAAGCAUAAAACAAUAGACCCGAAGCGAGGUGAGCUUACCAUGGUCAGGGUGAACCCCGGAGAAAUCCGGGGGAAGGCCCGAACCGUUUAGCCGUUCAAAACUAUCGGAUGAACUGUGGUAAGGAGUGAAAAGCUAAUCGAACCUCGUAAUAGCUGGUUCUCUCCGAAAUAGCUUUAGGGCUAGCGGAUUCUGCAAUCCAGGAGGUAGAGCUACUAGAAGGUCUGUACAGGGAGCAAUCUCGACCGACCUACUAAACUCCGAAUGCCCGGUGUUAAAAAGAAUCUAGUCAGACUACGGGGGCUAAGCUCCGUCGGUCGAAAGGGAAACAGCCCAGAUCUAAAACUAAGGUCCCUAAAUUUCUGCUAAGUGCAAAGAAGGUGGUGAAGUUUCAUAAACAGCGAGGAGGUUGGCUUAGAAGCAGCCAUCCUUUAAAGAGUGCGUAACAGCUCACUCGUCAAGAGACUUUGCGCCACAAAUUAUCGGGGCUAAGUGGAGUACCGAAGUUUAGGACUUGAUAUUUCUUUACUGAAAUAUCAUUUGGUAGGAGAGCGUUCCAAGUGCAGUGAAGCGGAAGGGGUGACCCACCGUGGAGCGCUUGGAAGUGAGAAUGUUGGCACAAGUAACCGCAAUACCCGUGAAAUUCGGGUACACCGUAAACCCAAGGUUUCCUUGGCAAUGUAAAUCAGCCAAGGGUUAGUCGGCCCUAAGGGGAUGGCAAAUGCCGUACCUGAUGGUUAGCAGAUUAAUAUUUCUGCACUGCGUAUUUUUUUGAUGGCGGGACGGAAUCUAGUACCUCGAUCGUGUUAAUGGAUUCACGUUCAUUCUCUGAAGAUAAGGCGCAUGAAAAUCAGCGUUGAGCCUUUAAUGGCAAUAUCAAAGGAGUUUGAAAAUUUUUCCUUUACGGGAAGAAAAUUCGAUGGAGCAGGUUUCCAAGAAAAGCGUCUAAAAAUAUAAAUACGUAUCCGUACCUAAAACCGACACAGGUGGGUGAGUCGAGUAGACUCAGGUGAACGAGUGAGAGAUCCUCAAGGAACUCGGCAAAAAAGCAUUCGUAAGUUCGCAAUAUGAAUUACCC